rnacentral:lncRNA from 1 species
GUUUUGUAGGAGUUGAAAGACUGAAACAGCGUCGUAUUAGGACGAUGAGCUAUCAUCAUCUGCCACUCUUUCUCAGUUUCUCCGUCUCUCGCCGGCGAUCGAUUCGCCGAAAAGCCCCACUACCCAGGGUAAAGCACAGAGGCUUCUUCACCGAACCAAGGCUCUAUUGUGAAACUGGUCUGAUCUCCCUUCACAAACACCGCGUGGUUUAUAGACUUGAAAACAUCGAUGGGAACUGGAGAGUACGCAAAAAGAACAUAUCUUUUAAUUCAGCAAAUGAAAAAAAAUGGUAAUAAAGAAUUUAAACGACUUCUUGGUGAAUUGUGGUAUGUUAUUAAUUUCUAACCUUGGAUGCUUUUAAGGAUUUGCUCUUCUGAUAUGUGAGUCUUCUCAAGAGACUUGCCGAUCUUUUUCUCCCACAAGGUGACCAUUUCGUUCAUCGAUAAAAUGUUGUUAGGAGGACUAAUGUAGAGGGUUUUGUUCAGAGUCCUUAGAUCAUCCACCGCCUUGAUCAUGAGGAACAUUUUUGUCGCCAAAGAUGAUGGCCUUGUCUCUAGUAUGAGAAAUGAGACCAGACUCGAACUGAAGUAACGUACGCAAGUAAAAACCGGCAGAGCAAUUGCUAACAACGUAAGUGUAUGGUAUUCCUUCAGCUUCAAUGGCUCUCCUGAUCUGUACCUUCCCUGCAAAUAAUGAUUUUGCCGGCUCAACCGCACUGGUCCUCUCAACGUCUAUCCCAAACUCAGCCGGCAAGAAUCUCUGCAAAGCAAAAACUAUAAAUCUAGUAAGAGGUUAUGUUCAGCUGGAUUUUUUCUCAUAACUAUUUUCAGUUAGAUCAUAUGCUAAUCGGAUUGCCAUUUAUAUGUAUUGAGGUUUGAAUCAAAUACCAACCUUGACGUUACCAGCUUCUUUAAUGGCGGAAAUGAUCUUGGUUUGAUCAAAGAUUUGCUUGUGCCCGAUGGUUGAUAUCACCACAUCAACCUGUUUAAUGGCCUUAACUAAGCUCUCAUGAUCAUUCAAAUCUCCCUGUCCAAGUUACAUAACUAGGUUAUGGUUUUGAGUUUGUAUGAAACAUGUUAGAGAGUGAGAGUUCAUGCAUACGUGUAGUAUUGUGACACCGAGAUCUUUGAAGCUCUGGAUGGUUUUGCUCUUGACAGGAUCAGAGAGAGAUGCUUCUCGGACAAGAGCGAAUGUUGGGUUACCGGCUUUCGCGCUCCCUUCAACGAUGAAUUCUCCCAUGUAACCAGUCCCUCCGAUCACCAGAAUCUUGCUUUUCUCCGUCGUCAUGUUUCAAACGUGGGUAAAGCUCAGAGGCUUCAAAACCGAAUGAAGGCUCUAUAGUGAAAUUGGUCUGAUCUCCUUUCACAAACACCGCGUGGUUUAUCGACAGAAGAACGUUGAAGGGAACCGGAGACUCUGCAAAAAGAGAAAGAUCUUCAUAUUCUAGAAAAUGAAAAAACGGUAGUUAUAAAGAAUCGAAAGACCUCUUGGUGAAUUGAUUUUCUGAACCUUGGAUGCUUUUAAAGAUUUGUUCCUCUGACAUGUAAAUCUUCUCAACAGACUUGCCAAUCUUUUUCUCCCA